AUCAAACUAAGAAUGCCGGAUAAAUGAGUAUGGGAGUCAGACUACGUGAGAUAAGUCUCGUGGUCGAAAGGGAAACAGCCCAGACCUACAGCUAAGGUCCCAAAUAUAUGCUAAGUGGAAAAGGAUGUGGCAAUGCACAGACAACCAGGAUGUUGGCUUAGAAGCAGCCACACAUUCAAAGAGUGCGUAAUAGCUCACUGGUCGAGUGAUCCAGCGCCGAAAAUGUAACGGGGCUAAAACGCGACACCGAAGCAGCGGGAUGCGUAAGCAUCGGUAGAGGAGCAUUGUGUGAGGGUUGAAGCCAGAGCGGGAGCACUGGUGGACUUCACAGAAGAGAGAAUGCCGGUAUGAGUAGCGAGAGGCAUGCGAGAAACAUGCCCGUCGAAAGCCCAAGGUUUCCUGGGGAAGGUUCAUCCGCCCAGGGUAAGUCGGGGCCUAAGCCGAGGACGGAAGUCGUAGGCGAUGGACAGCAGGUGUAGAUUCCUGCACUACCGAUGGAAUGAAGCAGUGACACAGAAGGAUAACUCGAGCAGGGUGAUGGUCAACCCUGUGCAAGCAUCAAGGUUGGGUUGUAGUGAAGUACGCAAUCCUAUAAGCUGAGAUGUGAUGCGGACCGAAAUUUCAGUAGGGAAGCGAGUGAGUUCACGCUGGCGAGAAAAGCUGCUAAGGAGAGUGUGAGUGCCCGUACCGGAAACCGACGCAGGUGGGCGAGGAGAGAAUCCUGAGACGGACGGGAGAACUCUUGUUAAGGAACUCGGCAAAAUGACCCCGUAACUUCGGGAGAAGGGGUGCCUCGAAAGAGGCCGCAGAGAAUAGUCACAAGCGACUGUUUAGCAAAAACACAGGUAUCUGCGAAAGCGAGAGCUGACGUAUAGGUGCUGACGCCUGCCCGGUGCUGGAAGGUUAAGGGGAAGUGUUAGGGGAAACCCGAAGCAGAGAACCGAAGCCCCAGUAAACGGCGGCCGUAACUAUAACGGUCCUAAGGUAGCGAAAUUCCUUGUCGGGUAAGUUCCGACCCGCACGAAUGGCGUAACGACUUGUGAGCUGUCUCAACAGGAGGCCCGGUGAAAUUGAAGUAUGUGUGAAGAUGCACAUUACCCGCGACUGGACGGAAAGACCCCGUAGAGCUUUACUGUAACCUGACAUUGGAUCUUGAUAACGGAUGCACAGGAUAGGUGGGACGCUGGGAGACGAGGACUUUGGUUUUCGUGGAGCGGCCGUUGGGAUACCACUCUUCUGUUAUUGAGAUUCUAACCUCAAGCCGUGAGCCGGAUGAGAGACAGUGUCAGGCGGACAGUUUGACUGGGGCGGUCGCCUCCGAAAGAGUAACGGAGGCGCCCAAAGGUACCCUCAGAAUGGAUGGAAACCAUUCGAAGAGAGCAAAGUCAGAAGGGUGCUUGACUGCGAGACCAACAAGUCGAGCAGGUACGAAAGUAGGGCUUAGUGAUCCGGCGGUAAGAGAGUGGAAUUGCCGUCGCUCAACGGAUAAAAGCUACCUCGGGGAUAACAGGCUGAUCUCCCCCAAGAGUCCACAUCGACGGGGAGGUUUGGCAC
rnacentral:rRNA from 1 species